AAAGGUAAUUAGGUAUAAAUUAAAGCUGCUAACUUUACUUUGAGCAACUCGAAUUGUUCUACCUUUU
rnacentral:tRNA from 1 species